rnacentral:lncRNA from 1 species
CUCCCAGCCCAGCCCUGUGGGCUUUCAGGUAGGAGGCAGAGACCGCAGGGAGGGAGCUCCCAGAGAUGCACCCCGUGGACCACGCCCUCCCUGUCUCUUCCUCCUUCCCCGGAGGACCAUGCUGGACAAAGUAGCAGCUCAAUAAACAUGUAUUGGAUUGCUCCGGAUCACAGUCAGGUCUAGGACUGCACAUUUAUCAAUUCCUUUCCACGUCAACUCAAUAUAAGUCGGGGCAAGCCUCGUAAGAUGUGAGAAGUGGAAGCUGCAGGGAGUGUCUGGAGCCCGGAGACAGGCCAUGGGUGCCUGAUCUGGAGGAGUGUGAAGGGAAACACCCAGGAAGCAGGGUCUGUUGAGUGCCUCAACACAAGGCUGCAACAGGUGGGACUUGACCUGCAAGUGCAGGAGCCAAGGGUGGGCAAGCAUCUCCACACGUUUUGAUUUUAAGGAAAAUUAUUCUUGUGACCACGCACAGGGUGGGAGAAGGAGUGAGCCCACUCGCUCACUAUUCCAGCACCGACACGGGGACGCUCACUAUUCCAGCACCGACGUGGGGACGCUCACUAUUGCAGCACCGACAAGGGGCACCAACACGGGGAUGUUCACAAUUCCAGCACCGACAUGGGGACGCUCACUAUUCCAGCACCGACACGGGGAUGCUCACUAUUCCAGCACCGACGUGGGGACGCUCGCUAUUUCAGCACCGACAAGGGGCACCGACACGGGGACGCUCACUAUUCCAGCACCGACAAGGGGCACCGACACGGGGACACUCACUAUUCCAGCACCGACACGGGGACGUUCACUAUUUCAGCACCGACACGGGGACGAUCACUAUUCCAGCACCGACACGGGGACGUUCACUAUUUCAGCACCGACACGGGGACGAUCACUAUUCCAGCACCGACACGGGGACGCUCACUAUUCCAGCACCGACAAGGGGCACCGACAUGGGGAUGCUCACUAUUCCAGCACUGACAAGGGGCACCGAUACGGGGACGCCCACUCUACCAGCACCGACACGGGGACGCUCACUAUUGCAGCACCGACAAGGGGCACCGACAUGGGGACGCUCACUAUUCCAGCACCGACACGGGGCACCGACAUGGGGACGCUCACUAUUCCAGCACCGACACGGGGUCGCUCACUAUUCCAGCACCGACACGGGGACACUCACUAUUCCAGCACCGACACGGGGCACCGACACGGGGACGCUCACUAUUCCAGCACCGACACGGGGACGCUCACUAUUCCAGCACCGACACGGGGCACCGACACGGGGACGCUCACUGUUCCAGCAC